GCAUAUCAAUAAGCGGAGGAAAAGAAACCAACCGGGAUUGCCUCAGUAACGGCGAGUGAAGCGGCAAGAGCUCAAAUUUGAAAUCUGGCCCCUUUGGGGUCCGAGUUGUAAUUUGCAGAGGAUGCUUCGGGUGCGGUCCCCGUCUAAGUGCCCUGGAACGGGCCGUCAUAGAGGGUGAGAAUCCCGUCUGGGAUGGGCGGCCGCGCCCGUGUGAAGCUCCUUCGACGAGUCGAGUUGUUUGGGAAUGCAGCUCUAAGCGGGUGGUAAAUUUCAUCUAAAGCUAAAUACUGGCCGGAGACCGAUAGCGCACAAGUAGAGUGAUCGAAAGAUGAAAAGCACUUUGAAAAGAGAGUUAAACAGCACGUGAAAUUGUUGAAAGGGAAGCGUUGUCCMCCAGACUCGCCCGGGGGGGUUCAGCCGGCACGUGUGCCGGUGUACUCCUCUCCGGGCGGGCCAGCAUCGGUUUGGGCGGCUGGUGAAAGGCCCCGGGAAUGUAACACCCUUCGGGGUGCCUUAUAGCCCGGGGUGCCAUACAGCCAGCCUGGACCGAGGCCCGCGCUUCGGCGAGGAUGCUGGCGUAAUGGUGGUCAACGGCCCGUCUUGAAACACGGACCAAGGAGUCUAACAUCUAUGCGAGUGUUCGGGUGUCAAACCCGUCCGCGCAGUGAAAGCGAACGGAGGUGGGAGCCCCUCGGGGCGCACCAUCGACCGAUCCUGAUGUCUUCGGAUGGAUUUGAGUAAGAGCAUAGCUGUUGGGACCCGAAAGAUGGUGAACUAUGCCUGAAUAGGGCGAAGCCAGAGGAAACUCUGGUGGAGGCUCGCAGCGGUUCUGACGUGCAAAUCGAUCGUCAAAUUUGGGUAUAGGGGCGAAAGACUAAUCKAACCAUCUGGUAGCUGGUUCCCUGCC
rnacentral:rRNA from 1 species